GACGAACCGUGCGAACGUUAUUCGGAAUCACUGGGCUUAAAGCGCGUGUAGGCGGGAGGGCACGUCCGUUGCUGAAAUCCCCCGGCUCAACCGGGGAACGGGCGCGGAUACGACUCUCCUUGAGGGGCGUAGGGGGACCUGGAACUUCCGGUGGAGCGGUGAAAUGCGUUGAGAUCGGAAGGAACGCCCGUGGCGAAAGCGGGGUCCUGGACGCCUACUGACGCUGAGACGCGAAAGCCAGGGGAGCGAACGGG
rnacentral:rRNA from 1 species